CGAUGAGCUGACAAGCAAAGAGGGACAAGCUUGAGCUGGGAAGGUGGAUCAGGGAGAGGGGUCAGCAGGGCAGCAGCUGCCCUCUGCCCCUUUGCAGAUGUCCCCCACCGAGCAUGCAAAUGAGGAUGAAUUGUCUGAACUAGCCAAACUGUUCAGCAAGAACUUUGAGGACCUCAGCAGAUACACGGAAAUGUGAGGCCACUGAGGAGGGGAUGGGGAUGAGAACAGGGACAGGGUUUGGGGGCAUGGGUGAGUGCAAUGGCUUGUGGGGGCACAGGGAAAUUUGCGAACUAAAAUCCAAGGAGCAAUGCCCUUGCAGAAGGAUUUAGCGCUGAGGCACAGAGAUAGCAGUGUCCCCUCUCUUUCUGGGCCAGAUGGAGUUUCUGUGCCCAGCCGGCAGAGAGGGAGCCUUGGGCAAGGGACCACAGGGUCUCUUGGGGGAACCCAGAGAAAUGACACAGCCUGCCAGCUCCUUCGGGAUAGAGGGAGAGUCCCAGGGUGCUCAGGAGUGCUUGGCUUAGCAUUCCCAUCAUCUUCCUUCUCCUUCUCCUCCUCACACAGGCUUGACUUGAAGUUGCCAGAGGACAGCGGUGAGUUUCUCACUUCUGACACAGAGAGUGAUACCAGCUGCUCUUCAAGAACAUCUCUGGACUCUUGGCGCACCAUCUCCUGCACUACCGUCACGGAGGAUGAAACCAGACAGAUUUCACAGGCAUCUAUCCCCGCUCCUAUUCAGAAAGCAGUCUCACUUCAUGCUCGCCCACCCUGCACUAAAGAAGUGGUGGUCAGAUGCCACAGGGCCAGCAGUGAGAAACAAAAGCAGACUCAGGAGACCCAGGAGACCCUGGACUGCUUCCCCCCAAAAAAGAAAGAGGAGCAGAAACUGGGCCUGCCAGCUGAUGUGGACAAGCCUUCAAAAGACCCUGCCUCUGCUUCAAAAAUAACUAAGCAAGCAGAAAAGCCUACUUUGAAGGUGAUUCCCAUGGUGCGGGAAAUGCCCUGUGUGGACAAGACCGUGGAUGGACAUCUGGAGGGGCCUGAAAUACAAAAGGAGAUAAAAAGAUUCUUCAGGGUACCAAGAAAGUUCCUGGAUUCCAUGAAGAGAUUUUUCAGCUACAUCCAGGGGCAAAAAGACUCUCAGACUCUCAGACUGAGGCUCCACAGAGGAACACCAGGCAGCACCACCC
rnacentral:lncRNA from 1 species